rnacentral:lncRNA from 1 species
AGCGGGCUACGUUGGUGCUGGAGAGGCACCACACUCCUGCAUGCACGCCCACCCCCAAUCCUUCCCCCCAACACGGGGGGUGGUGGGGGGCAAAAACAACCCGGGGCGCUGACGUCACCCAGGCGGAGGCGCCUACCGCUGUACCCUCACUGUAUGCAGUUGUUGGAGAUGCUCGGUUUAGCAGAGACAUUGAGAGAGAGAGAGAGAGAUGGAGCCCUUGGCCUUCUGUCACAAGAGCUGGCAAAUGGCCCGCCCGGCUAGCCCUGCCCUAGCCAGUCCCAGAGCCACAGAUCUGGGAUCUGCCAGCCGUGCUAUUUGCCUCACCGAGUGGGUCUACUCAUAGUUUUCCACGAGACUUGACAAGGAAGGAACAAACCCCACAACUCUAAAGGUACAUAAACUACAGGCUGAGCCCGGUGUGCAUACUUGUAACCUCAACUGUUCCGGUGGCCGAACCAGGAGAAUCACAAGUGUGAGACUGGCCUGCUUAGACUACAGAGUGACUUCAAGGCUAAAUUGAGCAACUUAAUGAGAUUGGCUCUCAAAAGAGUGAAAAAGAGCUGGGCAUGCAGCUUAGAAUCAAAGUAUUUCUCCAGCGUGUGUGAGCCUGAGGUUCAAUCCCCAGGACUGGGAAACAAAAACAAAGAAAUAAGAAAAGCUAACUGACUUCAUUUUCAUUUUGAGAGCAUCACUGCCCAUCACAGGAAAACAGUUCAUACAUCUGAAGAUGCCAAGAGGAACAAGUGAGUGGCAGUCUCCACAUCUCAGGGACAAACUUCUGGUUUGGGGAAUAGUUGUGCAUCGAGUGGGACUUCUGCUCCAGAUUUCCACAGGGAUAUCUCCUAUGUAUCCACUUUUUUUGGCUGGCGGGGGGCACUUCUGAGACAGGGUUUCUCUGUGGCUUUGGAGCCUGUUCUAGAACUAGCUCUUGUAGACCAGGCUGGUCUCGAACUCACAGAGAUCUGCCUGCCUCUGCCUCCCCAGUGCUGGGAUUAAAGGCAUUCACCACCACUGCCCAGCCAUAUAUCCACUUUUCAUUUGAAGAUUCCUGCAUGUUGGCAGACUAGUGUUACAGUAAGUCUUUACUCCAUCCGCCCCGCCUCCAUGUGGGCACCCAGAAUAACACACAGAGUCCUAUAUUAGUUUACAAUGCUGCUGGCCAAUUGACUAGGAUUUCUUAUAUGCUAGCUCAGUCUUAAUUAUCAGAAAUCUAUAUAUUUUAUAAGACUUAUCUUAUCGAGGAUGUCUUCUGCUGGCGUCCUCUUCCAGGGAUCACACGGAGGCUCCGUAGAGCAGAGAGCAGGAGGAAGAGGAAGAGCAAGAGAAUGAUUUCCUUCUUGUCCAUGCUUAUAUUCUGAGUCUGCCUGCUAUGUCACUUCCUGCCUGGAUCUCUACUACAUUUCCUAGAAUCCUCCUUGACUCCUAGUUCCACCUGUCUUGCUUUCCCAUUGGCCAACAGUACUUUAUUGACCAACCAAUAAGACAAACUUAUACACAGAAGGACGUGCCCCAUCCGACUAGUGCUUAGAAGAAUUGAUUAAGCUUCUAUGCUUUAUGUCACAUAAAUGUCACUAAAACAGGAACCGUGUCUUCUGGAGUUUAUUGUCAUGAUAUUGACCUAGGGAGAUUUCAUGGAAUUGCAUAUUUCUGUAUGCUCUUGAAAUUUGGUGCACGGUCACCUGUG